rnacentral:rRNA from 1 species
AUGGUGGUCCUCAUUGGGGAGAUGGAGAUCUUCCCCCCUGCUGGUGCUUUGGACAUGAGCGAUGGGACUCGCGAUGAUGAGAGCGACCUGUCUUCGCCAGCCACGCCUGUGGGACCGGGCCGGGCCUUUGGAGAUGCGCGGCAGGCAGCACUGGUUGGCUGCAAAUCAGCCUGUCUGACGAGGGAGAUGUGGGGGGCUAGACCUCUUUCCCCCAUCCCGAGGUUGAUUCGCAUGCGGCUGUCGGGAAUCCAUGCAGAUGUUGAGGGUGGGCACGUCCGUAGCAACAGCCUCACUCUAUGCGCCAAUCCCUCAGCGACUGCGAUGGCCUUUUGCAACGGCAUCCAAUGUGCUGUGACUCCAUUGUUGCCGGCGCCGCGGAUGUUGGAUGGGGAGCCUAGCUCGCGUCGCCCUAGGAGGAAAUAUCAGGCAGCAGGCUCGCGAAGGAGGAGCGUCAGGAUCGCUAAGUCUAGGUGGCCAUCUUCGGCCACCAAACAGCAGCAGAUUAUUAUCCGCAAGCUUUGCUUGGCUCAUGAGGGGGACACGAUUGGGGACGAGGCCCUGCAGAUGUACGUGCAACUUUUCAAGUCGCCGCUCUCGGACGAGCACAUCAGGGCUUUGCUAGCUCUGUUUGGCUGGGAGGCUUCGGCGUUGCCGUUGGUGGAUGUGCCACAGGAGGUGGCCGGGGCUCUCUGA